AGUAGAUACAAACUGUGAGAAGAGAUCACUCCUCCUAAAUGCUGUUGGAACUGAAAAUCAACCUGUGGGCACUGAAAUAUUGAGAUGAGGAAGAAACCCCAGGCAGAAGGCAACGGAGAGAACACAUGCAUAGAGAGUGAGAUGCCCUUGAAUUUGGGGACCGUGUUGAUCACGGAAGGAGCUGCCGAAGCCGGCUGCCCGCUGGAGUGUGCUUGGCACUGCUCCAAAGAACGAGAAACAACCUGACCUUUCCGACAGUUUAUCCAGACCCUGGAGGGAUCUUCCAGGGCUGGAGCCCCUCGACAGAGAGUGCUUCACUGAGACAGACCCAAACCUCCACCAAGAAGAAACUCCAAGCAAGAGGCCUGUCUGCAGACGCUUACACAUGUGUCGACACAUAAGGUGCAUGCAUGCCUGCCUAGAAAGCAUCUGAAGGACACGCAGUAGCAUCAGGUGUGGGAAUCUCAGGGCAAUUUUAGGUUCUUGGUUUUGCCACACCGACUUUCUUAAACUUUUACAGUGCCUAGGUAAUAUAUGUGUGAUGAUAUUUUUCUUUGAUUAAACAAAUAAAGAGCGAUUACGUAUUCCA